rnacentral:rRNA from 1 species
UACUCCUACGGGAGGCAGCAGUGGGGAAUAUUGGACAAUGGGGGGAACCCUGAUCCAGCCAUGCCGCGUGUGUGAAGAAGGCCUUAUGGUUGUAAAGCACUUUAAGCGAGGAGGAGGCUACUGAGACUAAUACUCUUGGAUAGUGAACGUUACUCGCAGAAUAAGCACCGGCUAACUCUGUGCCAGCAGCCGCGGUAAUACAGAGGGUGCGAGCGUUAAUCGGAUUUACUGGGCGUAAAGCGUGCGUAGGCGGCUUUUUAAGUCGGAUGUGAAAUCCCCGAGCUUAACUUGGGAAUUGCAUUCGAUACUGGGAAGCUAGAGUAUGGGAGAGGAUGGUAGAAUUCCAGGUGUAGCGGUGAAAUGCGUAGAGAUCUGGAGGAAUACCGAUGGCGAAGGCAGCCAUCUGGCCUAAUACUGACGCUGAGGUACGAAAGCAUGGGGAGCAAACAGGAUUAGAUACCCUGGUAGUCCAUGCCGUAAACGAUGUCUACUAGCCGCUGGGGCCUUUGAGGCUUUAGUGGCGCAGCUAACGCGAUAAGUAGACCGCCUGGGGAGUACGGUCGCAAGACUAAAACUCAAAUGAAUUGACGGGGGCCCGCACAAGCGGUAGAGCAUGUGGA